rnacentral:siRNA from 1 species
CAAGUCAAACGAUCAGAUGUGUAC